rnacentral:rRNA from 1 species
GAAUAUUGGACAAUGGGGGCAACCCUGAUCCAGCGACGCCGCGUGGGUGAAGAAGGCCUGCGGUUGUAAAGCCCCUUCGGUGGGGAUGAAAAGCUUCGCUCUAACACAGUGGAGUCUUGACCUAACCCACAAAAGAAGCACCGGCUAACUCUGUGCCAGCCGCCGCGGUAAUACAGAGGGUGCGAGCGUUAAUCGGAAUUACUGGGCGUAAAGCGCGCGUAGGCGGCUUUGCAAGUCGAUUGUGAAAUCCCCGGGCUCAACCUGGGAACUGCAUUCGAGACUGCAUUGCUAGAGUAUGGGAGAGGGAAGUGGAAUUUCAGGUGUAGCGGUGAAAUGCGUAGAUAUCUGAAGGAACAUCAGUGGCGAAAGCGACUUCCUGGACCAAUACUGACGCUCAUGUGCGAAAGCGUGGGGAGCAAACAGG